UACGGGGGGGCAAGCGUUGUUCGGAAUUACUGGGCGGUAAAGGGCUCGUAGGCGGCCAACUAAGUCGGAUGUGAAAUCCCCAGGCUCAACUUGGGAACUGCAUCCGAUACUGGAUGGCUUGAAUUCGGGAGAGGGAUGCAGAAUUCCAGGUGUAGCGGUGAAAUGCGUAGAUAUCUGGAGGAAUACCGGUGGCGAAGGCGGCAUCCUGGACCGACAUUGACGCUGAGGAGGCGAAAAGCUAGGGGAGCAAACGGGG
rnacentral:rRNA from 1 species